GAAGCAUGACCGUAAGGACAUGUGGACAGUAUGGGAGUGAGAAUGUUGGCAUGAGUAGCGAGAUGUGGGUGAGAAUCCCACAGGCCGUAAACCCAAGGGUUCCAGGGGAAGGUUCGUCCGCCCUGGGGUAGUCGGGACCUAAGCUGAGGCCGAAAGGCGUAGGUGAUGGACAACAGGUUGAUAUUCCUGUACUACCGAUAACCGUUUGAGAGAUGGGAUGACACAG
rnacentral:rRNA from 1 species